UACGUAGGGGGCUAGCGUUGUCCGGAAUCAUUGGGCGUAAAGCGCGUGUAGGCGGUCCGGUAAGUCCGCUGUGAAAGUCGAGGGCUCAACCCUCGAUGCCGGUGGAUACUGUCGGGCUUGAGUACGGGAGAGGCGAGUGGAAUUCCUGGUGUAGCGGUGGAAUGCGCAGAUAUCAGGAGGAACACCGGUGGCGAAGGCGGGUCUCUGGGCCGAUACUGACGCUGAGGAGCGAAAGCGUGGGGAGCAAACAGG
rnacentral:rRNA from 1 species